CAAUGAUGCUGAAGACCCUCCUGUGUGUGUCUGCUUUCGCGCUCAUCGGCGUCAGUGCAAAGGUGGGUGACGGGUGCAGAGACGUUAGUUCAUGCGACGAUGGAGAAUGCUGUCUGAAGACUUAUAUCGAUAUCAUGCGAACAGGAACUGGCACGUGUCAAAAAUAUAUAGCAGAAGGCGAGAGCUGCGACGAACAGGCAAUAUGGAGUGGGAAAUCGUGCCCUUGUGCGAGACUACUCUCGUGUAACACUCACACAGUUUCCAAGAGCUACCCGUCUCUUGACAAAAUAGGUAAUAACAAUAACAGACUCACAGUCAUCUCUAUAUGUGAGAAGCCAAUCCGUUGAAAGGCUCACUGGUGACGAAGAGAGAGAAAAAUCAGGACUGCCUUAAGGCACAGCUUAAUGAUGGACUGAUUCCUUGGUGUGUGCUACGGUUUUGAGACAUCCCUCAGAAAUAAACCACACAUUUCCCAAAUUA